GAAUAUUUAAGAACCAACUUAACAAUUGAUGUCUAUUUUCAAAAGAACUGUGACUCUUAGAACUACACAGAAUUUGGAAGAUGGAAAAGAAAGCUAUCCCACUGAGGAUGGAACUUGAAUCUAGAAUUAUCUUAACCAGGUUAGUGUUUCACCAGAUGAAAUUUAAUUACAGUCCCUGAUACUAUCUAGGGAAGCCAAACCUCAUUUGGUUAGAAAAUUGUGCUUUAAGAAUAAACUAAAAGAUUUGGUGGUCAAAGGAAUUUCCUGGUGGUCCAGUGGUUAGGACUCCAAGCUCUCACUGCCAAGGGCCUGGAUUCAAUCCCUGGUCAGGGAACAAAGAGACUACAAGCCAUGUGGUCAAAGAGAGAGAUCUAGUGGUCAAGUUUUCUCAAUGACCUCCUUCCCCCAAAACCCACCUAAAACAUCCAAAAAAGGAAACAACCACCAAAAAAUUGAGGCGUUACAGGCAAUAAAUUGCAGUACUCUGCACAUAUCCUGCCAUGGUACAGUGUUUCCCAGCCUUGGUCAGUCAGGAGCAUUUGCUCCCACUUGUAGCUCCUCAGAGAGUUCAUGGAAGGGGUGGAAGAAGCCCAAGCAACUGUAUCUCUAGGCAGAAAUGACUUGGGAAUGCCUGCCUUCCUGCAUUCGCCUCCUUUCUUUGCAGUUUAGAAUUCACAGCAAACAGGAGUGAACGUAGUGAACAAAGUUCUGCUGUGAAAAGGACUGGAUGACACGCAGGCCAUGUAACCUUGAGCAGUUUACCCAUCCUCCUUGAGUUUGAGUUUUUUCUCAACUGUAGAACAAGAACCGUGAAAGCCUCUACAUAUGGUCAUUAUAGACACCAGUAAAGCAAUCGAUGUGACUGCCACUUGUAAACUGAACUCAAGUGUGAUGUCCAUAAAUGCAUAUGUUGUGUCAAAUCUUCACUGAAUAAAGGCAUUAAGAUUGUUCCAUGAGGUUUUUUAGUGUCGGAUUUUAUCCUUUUAGCAAGGAGUCAGUAAACUAAACGUCAAGUUGCAAUAAAACCUGGCUGUAAAUCCAACUUUGCUUUUUCUUGUUUGAGUCACUUAGGGAAAGAUGGCAACCUUCCAGAUCUGUUAUCUCAACUGUAGAACUCUUUGCUCCCCUCUCAAAGAGGUGGAAUGCAUUGUAAAGGAUGAAACUUGAGGUGUCUUGUAAGCUCUAAAGCUCCAUACAUAUUGUAUGAUGCCUGCCUAUGCAGGAGCUGGAAAGGGCAAAGCAUCUGUUUUCAGAUCCAGUAAUAUCCUCGCCCUGUCCCAUCUAAUCUUUGCCCCCCAGGGUUCAGAGGAUCUGCUGAGGGGAGGGCCUGCAUCUGAGCCAUGACUUUUUAUCAGCAGUUAAAGGAAAACCAAGAGCACUCAGAGUUCCUGGGGGCAAUGGUCAGUCCCCUGGGGUGGAAUCAAUGGGCGGCUGCUGCUCAGUAAACAAAGAGGUUGGCCCACUGCCCUCGUGCCUGGCGUCUUUGCAGGUUCCCAAGAGUUCAGUGAUGGAAGGGCCCACACAUUCUCCUCAGUGCUGCUGGCUGAAACUGUCAUUAUGCAUCAGAUUUCAAGAAUGGAAUAGUAGAAUCUGUGCCCGGGGAGAAGAACCAGAUUUGGAUUUCUGCAGUCGAUCACUGACUUCCCAGGUGGUGCUAGUGGUAAAGAACUCGCCUACCAAAGCAGGAGACAUAAGAGAUGUGGGUUUGAUCCCUAGGUCGGGAAGAUGCCCUGGAGGAAGUCAUGGAAACCCAUUCCAGUAUCCUUGUCUGGAGAAUCCUAUGGAAAGAGGAGUCUGGCAAACUACAGUCCAUAGGGUCACAAAGAGUCAAACAGGACUGAAGCAACUUCCACGCACGCACACAGAGUUGAGCACAGGCUUAUUAAGCCUAGGAGUGAAAAAAAAAAAAAAAGAGCCCAGGAGUGGGAGAAAGUCUUACAAGAUGAAACUGCUCACAAUGAUUAGAAGUGGGGAAGUGAGAGCAGCUGUCUGGGAAGAUAAAGAACACCACUCAGAGACGGGAGUUGGAAUGAGAGAUGGCAAGCAGAGACAGCAAGCAGUCAGGAAGGACCAGGCAAGAUCCAGUGAAUGGGGCUCAGCAGUGAGGUCUGGAAGAGAUGAUGGAGAAGGCAAAAGGCCAAGAGUGAAACCCCAUAGAGAAGCUGGGUGAAGAACACGUGAUUCUCAAAUUCAAAUCUGUUGUCAGUAAAAGCUGGAGAGAAACACCUGGCUUCAAGCAAGCCAGCGCCUCAGCUUCACGGAGAACCUCCUGGAAGGGGAUCAAAUGAGAACUGUCUGUGAGGGGUGACGAGGCUCCAGUCCACAAGAGAAUGCAACACGCAGUGAGAGCCUAAAACCUCUGAAGAAGAUACCUCGUCCUCCAUUACUCUCUAAACUCCGUGCAGGAGACACGGUGGGGCCUGGUGUCAGUGACAGACAGCUGAGCAGAGGCUGGCCGCAUUAUCAGCAACUCUCUGAAUGUGCUUCCCCAAAAGAAUAUUCCCAUCCCAGCAAAGGAAGCCAAGAUCCAGACACUCAUAAAGAAAAUCAACGAUGGACUAAGGGGAACCGUCUCCAGAAAGGUCUAAGUAAAAGAUGUGGUCGGAAGACACUGACUGGCAGACACUCGUGCCCCUGAGGAGGGAGCCCGCACUAAAGGAUCUCCCGCUCUCACUGAGGGAGCGAGUACUACUGUGGAAAUCACUUCAGCCAGGAAGCUGUGCUGGCUGUCUGGACCAGAACUGCAGCCAAUGCCAGGAUGAUGGAGGCAACAGAAUCCCCCCAGGAGACUCAGGGUGUCCAGUGAGGCGUGGUCCAUGCAUGACAGAAGCCUCCCCACAGACACAGAUGAUGGGGUCACUUAUAAUUCCAUGCUGGACGAGCCUGGGUUCCUGAGAAACAAGAGAGAGUGAGUGCCUCCUCCGUGUUCCCUGCCUGCAGUCUUCCAGUGUGUUGUGCCCCAUGCAUUCAGAGGAAUGAUGUGUUAAAUGAAAAUUAACAUGAUAUUAGCAUACCAGGAAAAAUCACACAUCUGUGAUUGUAGUACCCUCCACUCUUUCUGCUCCCCCGGCUCUGGACUGGUGGGCUGUAGAUGACACAGAAAGGUGUCUGUUUUGGGUUGGGAUACAGAUGCUUAUGUUUUAAAAGGGGAAAACAUGGGGCUUCCUUGACAGUCCAGUUGUUAAGACUUUGCCUCCCGACGCAGGAGGUGUGGGGUUGAUUCCUGGUCAGGGAGCUAAGAUUCCCAUACCUCGCUGCCAAAAAACCAAAACAAAACAGAAGCAAUAUUAUAACAAAUUCAAUAAAAACUUUAAAUGGUCCACAUUUUUUUAAAUAUCUCUAAAAUAUUUUAAAAAUAAAAAGGGAAAGACGUUUCAUAAGUUAUCAUUCAUCCCAGAUAAGAAGAUGAAAACUUCAUUCAUAUUACCAAAUGAUUUCCCUUAUGAAAUGUUAAAAAUGGCCUCAACAGCUUCUAAUGGGACCAUCUUCAGCUGAACGGUGUGAAGAUGUGAGUGAGGAAUCAGUUUGCUUCCUGGCUGGAUUUCCCUCUUUAGAUGCAGAUCGCCUUAGGAGCUGCUGUCUUCUAACUGUGAUGAGUCCGAACUGUUGAGUAUUUUAAGCCAAAGCAGUUAUUCCCACCUCCCCACCCAAAGCAUACAAUUCUUAACUUGAAAACUGUUGUUUUGUAUUUUUCUAAGUAUCUUGAGACUUCUGUGGUUUGGUUAUGGGCUAAAAAUUACAGGGCAGUUGCAGUAGUCUUUCCACUUGUAACUGUUUUAUAUCUUUCAGUUGCUAAAAAAACAACAACAAAAAAUAGUUUAAGGCUACUUCCCAAUCAUAACUAAAUAUGUUGCAUUUAAAGUGUGUAUAUAAAGUAAUUCAUCAACUGUUGUAUUUGGGCUUCCCUGGCAGCUUGGACCAUAAACAGUAAAGAAUCUCCCUGCAAUGCAGGAGACCUGGGUCUGAUCCCUGGGUCAGAAAGAUCCCCUGGAGAAGGAAAUGGCUACUGACUCCAGUAUUCUUGCCUGGAGAAUUCCAUGUACAGAAAAGCCUAGUGGGCUACAGUCCAUGGGGUCGCAAAUAUGUUGCAUUUAAAAUGUACAUAUAAAGUAAUUCAUCAACUAUUGUAUUUAGGGGGUUAUAUUCAUUGCAUGCAAGUUAUUAACAUUCUGAGCUCAAAGUAGGCUUAAGUCAAAAACUGUGAUUUCUUCUGCAUGAUUCAUCUUAAUUUUUUUCUGUGCUACCUAAAUGUAUAAGCAGCAUGGCAACUGAGCCACAUUCUGACUCUUGCAAUAUCUUCUCCACAAGAAGCAUUGCCUCUACAAGAGUCUCUGAGGACAGGAGAAUAUUGCAGUGUCAGGGUUCACCUCAGUGUUUAAAACAAAUGUUAACAAAAAUGGUAGCGCAGGGAUGCAUGGAGCUAACAUCUGAAACUAUACAUCCUCUGGAAGUUUCUCAAUGCUACUAAAAAGCAGCAUAUCUAAAGAGGCACUGAUAGAGCAAACAGCUAGCAGAAAUAAAGUAGUUUUGUUUUUUCUAACAUUUAUUGAAUACUUAUUCAGAGCAAGGCCAGGGCCUAUCACAUGCGAGUUUCACAAAAGCACUACGACAACAUUAUUUUUAAUUUACAGUUAUCUGAAGGGUUUAGAAGUUAUUAACUUAACCAAGGUCUCACUGCUUGGAAAUGGAAGAUGCCAGCCAACUUCCAGGCUUCUUUUAUAUGAGACAGGAAUAAGUAACUCUAAGGUGGUUUAAGGAAUAAAUAAUGGUAUAAGGUGCU